CCUACGGGAGGCAGCAGUGAGGAAUCUUCCACAAUGGGCGAAAGCCUGAUGGAGCAACGCCGCGUGCAGGAUGAAGGCCUUCGGGUUGUAAACUGCUUUUAUAAGUGAGGAAUAUGACGGUAACUUAUGAAUAAGGAUCGGCUAACUACGUGCCAGCAGCCGCGGUCAUACGUAGGAUCCGAGCGUUAUCCGGAGUGACUGGGCGUAAAGAGUUGCGUAGGCGGUUUGUUAAGUGAAUAGUGAAAUCUGGUGGCUCAACCAUACAGGCUAUUAUUCAAACUGGCAAACUCGAGAGUGGUAGAGGUCACUGGAAUUUCUUGUGUAGGAGUGAAAUCCGUAGAUAUAAGAAGGAACACCGAUGGCGUAGGCAGGUGACUGGACCAUUUCUGACGCUAAGGCACGAAAGCGUGGGGAGCGAACCGGAUUAGAUACCCGGGUAGUCCACGCCGUAAACGAUGGAUACUAGCUGUUGGAGGUAUCGACCCCUUCAGUAGCGAAGCUAACGCGUUAAGUAUCCCGCCUGUGGAGUACGGCCGCAAGGCUAAAACAUAAAGGAAUUGACGGGGACCCGCACAAGCGGUGGAUCGUGUUCUUUAAUUCGAUGCUAAACGAAGAACCUUACCAGGGCUUGACAUCCAGGGAAUUUUUGGGAAACCAAUUAGUGCCUUUUGGAACCCUGUGACAGGUGAUGCAUGGCCGUCGUCAGCUCGUGUCGUGAGAUGUUUGGUUAAGUCCAUCAACGAGCGCAACCCUUGUGUCUAGUUGUAUUUUUCUAGACAGACUGCUUCGGUAACGGAGAGGAAGGAGGGGAUGAUGUCAGGUCAGUAUUUCCCUUACGUCCUGGGCUAGAAACACGAUACAAUGGCUAGUACAAUGCGCAGCGAAGCCGCGAGGUGGAGCAAAUCGCAUCAAAGCUAGUCCCAGUUCGGAUUGGAGGCUGAAACUCGCCUCCAUGAAGUCGGAAUCGCUAGUAAUCGCAGAUCAGCAAGCUGCGGUGAAUACGUUCCCGGGUCUUGUACACACCGCCCGUCAAACCAUGAAAGUGACCAACACCCGAAGUCCGAUUCGUCGGCCUAAGGUGGGGGGCAUGAUUGGGGUUAAGUCGUAACAAGGUAUCCGUACCGGAAGGUGCGGAUG
rnacentral:rRNA from 1 species